CAUUGCAGUUGGCCGGUGAGGAAAGAUUUUUAGCUCUUUCUCUUCAGUAGGGAUCUGAGGGAUCCACAGAGAAGCAUUAAUAUUGGAUAUUUUUAUUUUCUGACUGCCAUUUGAAUCCACCAUUGGCCACCAUUGUGAGAAAAUACAGCUGUCAAAAUGUCCAGAGUUGCCAAUCUGUCGAAGCUGCGGCAAGAAAGGAUGAGGGAAAUCAACCUGCGGAAUAAAGAGAGAGAGCGGAUGCGGGAACGUGAGAAGGCGGCAAGGGAGAGGGAGGCACGUUACAGCAACGGUCACCUCUUCACCUCGUUGACAGUUUCAGGAACCACGCUCUGUUCUGCAUGCAGCAAGAGUAUUACUGCCAAGGAGGCACUCAGCUGCCCUACAUGCAAUGUCACGAUCCACAACCGCUGUCGAGACACCUUGCCAAACUGUGCCAAAAUGAAACAGAGGCAGCAGAAGACAGCCCUAAUGCGGAAUAACUCAGCCUUGCAGAAUGUCACCCUGCGCACAAAAACUCCAGGAAUGCGUGAGCGUCCAAGUUCAGCCAUCUACCCUUCUGACAGCUUCCGACAGUCCCUGCUAGGAUCCCGUCGUGGUCGGUCCAGCCUAUCCCUGUCCAAGAGUGUCUCCACCAACAACAUUGCAGGGCCUUUGAAUGACGACUCUCCCCUGGGACUGCGCAGGAUUCUGUCCCAGUCAACAGACUCCCUCAGCUUCAGGACCAGAGCUAUGUCAGUGGAGUCUCUCACUGAUGAUGGAGACAUCUACUAUGUCUCAGUCUUGGAGGAGAUGGAGUUCGAGGGCCAGGACUUUAAAGCUGACUCAUGGAGCAUGGCCGUGGACAGCAGUUACUUGCAGACACACCGCAAAAAUGUCAUAAAGAGGCAGGAUGUCAUCUAUGAGCUGAUUCAGACCGAGCUGCACCACAUGCGAACGCUGCAAAUCAUGGAAAGGGUGUUCCGACAGGGCAUGCUGGAGGAGCUUCAGCUGGACCCAGGCACUGUACAUGCCAUUUUCCCCUGCCUGGAUCAGCUAACCAGGAUACAUUCCCAUUUCCUGGCACAACUUCUCCUGCGGCGCAAUAAUAGCCUGCAGUCUGGGUCCAGCCGCAACUUUACCAUUCACCAGCUGGGAGACAUACUACUAGAACAGUUUUCAGGCCAGUGUGCAGACGACAUGCGCAAGACUUAUGCUGAAUUCUGCAGCCGCCACUUGAAGGCUGUGAAAUUCUACAAGGAACUGCUGGCCAGAGACAAGCGGUUCCAGUGCUUCAUACGGUCUUUGUGUCUGUCUGUCUCUGGCCAGCGGGUGAGUCGAGGACCCUUGCUACGUUGCCAUGGUGUUCAGGAAUGCAUCUUGUUGGUGACUCAGCGGAUAUCCAAGUAUCCUGUCCUUAUCCAGCGAAUUCUGGACAACACCUCCGAUGAUGAAGAGGAAGCUUCUUCUCUGGCCCAGGCUCUUUUGAUGAUCAGAGAACUUCUUAGUUCAAUAGACCAACAGAUGGAGGACUUGGAGAAAACACAGCGGCUGCAAGAGAUCCAGGCCAAGCUGGACCCGCGGGCUGAAACAAGAGUAAGGGAUGGGGGACUAUUCAAGCCUUCAGAGUUGCUCCGCCGGAGACUUGUCCAUGAAGGGACCCUGUUAUGGAAAACCCCAGGAUCCCGGCUCAAAGAUACACAGGUCUUGCUGAUGACAGACAUCCUAGUGUUUCUGCAGGAGAAAGACCAGAGGUACAUCUUUCCAUGUCUGGACAAGCCUCCAGUGCUGUCUCUUCAGAACCUGAUAGUGAGGGAUAUAGCCAAUCAGGAGCGAGGCAUGUUUCUCAUCAGUGAUUCCUCCCCUCCUGAGAUGUAUGAGUUCCAUGCUGCCUCCAAGGAGGACAAGAACGUUUGGAUACGCCACAUUCAGCGUACCGUCAGCAAAUGCCCAUCAAGAGAGGAGUUCCCCCUCAUAGAGACUGAACACAAGGCCCAUCUGAGGAGACUCAAAGCUGACCUCCAGCAGAAGGACCGGGAAAUGCUGGAGCUCCUGCAGGAGAGGGUGACUCUAUUCUGUGAGCUGGCAGAGUUGACAAGUGGCCAGGAGGGCCUACAGCCUCCCAUCACCCGUUAUUUGUUCAGGGCAGACACACCACAAGCUCCCCGUGCAGAGAAACUCCUACUGGAUGCCACAGCUGAGGUGGACAGGUUGAGUGAGCUCCUUCUGGGCUCCACCGUGGAUGGAUGGAUUGCUCUUCCGUGCCAUCACAACCACGUGGAGGUGGUAGAAACCAGACUUGUACUGAGUGAGUGCUGUGUUUGUCUCUGCUCAGGUGAUCAGGAUUUGUUGGCCAAUGGAGGCCACGAUUUCUUUGCAGUAAAGGACGGCAUGAGGGGUCAAGACAAUCCACCACCCACGGAAAUCUGUCAGAAGUUGAUGAAUCUCAGUGUUUAUCUCCAUGCACUCCAGGGUGCUGUAAUCAAACAAGACUCCAUCUUGGAGCUGCUGCUGCAGCCACAGGACACUGUGAUGCCAGCUGUAGGAGGAGUGUGGCGUCCUCUCUGGCGAGAUAGUGGAAAUCGGGAGACCAGUGCUGGAUCAACCAUUGGGGAGCUGGCUCUUUUGCAGAGACAACAUAGCCUUUUGCAGGAGGAGCUGCUGAGGCUGCGUGAUGCAGAGAGUCGGUUCAAGGACAGUGAGAAGGCCCGGGUCAAGCUGGAGCGGCAGGUCCGACACAUGAAGAUCUGCAGCGGGGUUGCACCUGCCUCCCAGCAAAUGAGGGAGCAGGCUUUUCAACCUGUAUCUCUGCAGCCAGGAAGGGAGGUCUUAGCUGGAGCUAGCAUCAUGGGGGGCAGCCAGGAACCUGCCCGCCAGUCACAUGGUGUCCAGGACAGCAGUGACCUGGAGAUAGACAUGACAUCAGAUGAUGAUGAUGGGACAGCAUCUGAAAGUUCCAAAGGUUGUAAAUCAGGGAUGUAGAAGGCUGUGUCAGUAUGCCGCGAUAUCACUGGAUGUGGUUAUCUCUGACCACAACAUGGGUCCACUUAUUAGAAGAUCUUCAAGAUAUUCCAGAGGAGAUCUGAUCUUUGGCAUGUUUCAUAGUGCUUCUGAGUUGGAAACUGUAAUUGAUUAUGAUGUAACAUAAUUGACUCCAACUACGCACAGUGGUGUGCUUUCUAGCCAAUAGGCCACAAAGCACAACAAUGUGCACCUCUGUCUUUUCAGCAAGCCUUAAUGUUCAUUUAUCUGCUUUGCUUUUUUAGUAGACAGCUUGUGACAGUGAGUUGUUUUACUUUUCAGUUAUGCUUUGGCUUAUUGGAUUGGAUUUCCUUGAUUUAAUUGCAUCACUUGACCAAAGGGGUGUGAAAACUUAUAGAUAUUACAAAUGUUUAACUAUUAAAUCUCAAGAUUAGGAAAAAAAAAUGAACAUUAGGACUAAUGAAUAAAUCAGCCACUGUUUUCAGUUUAAGCAUGUAAACCAGUUGUUUUUAUGUUGCGCAAAAGUAGCUGCAAUCAUAUUCGUCUAAAACAAGGAGGACUCAGAUGCUGAUCUGUCUUUGGUAACAAACUAUGAAAUAGGCCAGAUUAUGUGAAUAAAAUACUGGCAAGUAUUUACUCAAUCUCAUUUAAACUCUACUUCAUUUAUUUUUAUGGAUUUGCAACUGACGCACACACAGUAAUAAAUAUUUUGGCCUAUUCAUAACAGCAGCAAGCACAAUGCCAAUUAAAAGAAAGAAUUUUGUUAGAACUGUACCUGAAAAAUGUGGUUGAAACUACUAACAGCUGUCAGUCCUACGUUUUUGGUCCUAUUUAAACAUUUAAUGGUACAGUGAAACAUUUCACAGUAAAUAAGGUUCUAACCUAAUUUUAGGUAUAUAGUUGCUGUAAUGAUUGUAAUUCAUUGUGUAAUCCAAAAUGUAAAAAAAAUGUGACAAUGUGAAAGGGAAUGCUUGUUCUAAUUAACCUUCAGGGAAUUUUCAGAGCUUUAUACUGAGUUUCAGCUCAUUGUUUCAUAACAAGGGGCUGGUCCAAGGCAAGCCUGAGCCAGCCCAAAAUGUAAGUUUUAUCAAAAAGUUUUGAGCCUGCUCUUAUAUGUAGAGAGGGUGUCUGCCUCCCAGACAAUAGCUGGACUAGCUUUUCUGCAUUAUUUUGAGACAGGAAGUGCCUGAUCUGAUUUUUACAAUGUUACGUAGGUGGAAAAAGGCAGUCCUUGAAAUUUUUUUUACAGGGGAGUGAAACGACAUAUCCUGAUCAAAGAUGACUCCCAGAUUCCUUACAGUUGUACUGGGGGCCAGCGCUAUGCCAUCCAUAGUUACUAUCUCAUCAGAUAGUGAAUUUCUAAGGUGUUUAGGCCCAAAUACGAUAACUUUAGUUUUGUCUGAAUUCAACAACAAAAAAUCGCAGGUCAUCCAGGUCUUUAUUUCCU